rnacentral:rRNA from 1 species
AGUGAACGCUGGCGGUAGGCCUAACACAUGCAAGUCGAACGGCAGCACAGUAAGAGCUUGCUCUUACGGGUGGCGAGUGGCGGACGGGUGAGGAAUACAUCGGAAUCUACUUUUUCGUGGGGGAUAACGCAGGGAAACUUACGCUAAUACCGCAUACGACCUACGGGUGAAAGCAGGGGAUCUUCGGACCCUGCGCGAUUGAAUGAGCCGAUGUCGGAUUAGCUAGUUGGCGGGGUAAAGGCCCACCAAGGCGACGAUCCGUAGCUGGUCUGAGAGGAUGAUCAGCCACACUGGAACUGAGACACGGUCCAGACUCCUACGGGAGGCAGCAGUGGGGAAUAUUGGACAAUGGGCGCAAGCCUGAUCCAGCCAUACCGCGUGGGUGAAGAAGGCCUUCGGGUUGUAAAGCCCUUUUGUUGGGAAAGAAAAGCAGCAGGUUAAUACCCCGCUGUUCUGACGGUACCCAAAGAAUAAGCACCGGCUAACUUCGUG